GAACCGUACAAACGUUAUUCGGAAUCACUGGGCUUAAAGGGUGCGUAGGCGGUCCGGCAAGUUGGGUGUGAAAUCCCUCGGCUCAACCGAGGAACUGCGCUCAAAACUGCCGGACUUGAGGGAGACAGAGGUGAGCGGAACUUAGGGUGGAGCGGUGAAAUGCGUUGAUAUCCUAAGGAACACCAGUUGCGAAAGCGGCUCACUGGGUCUCUUCUGACGCUCAGGCACGAAAGCUAGGGGAGCGAACGGGAUUAGAUACCCCGGGUAGUCCUAGCUGUAAACGAUGAGCACUGGGCUGGAGGCUCCCUCCAUAGGCUUCCCAGCCGAAGCGAAAGUGUUAAGUGCUCCGCCUGGGGAGUAUGGUCGCAAGGCUG
rnacentral:rRNA from 1 species